rnacentral:lncRNA from 1 species
GGAAUGGUAAAAUGGUUGCACCCACCAUACUUCCAUGUACCUUUCUAGAGUCAGUAACCUCAUCGUUAAGGUGUUUAUAAAAAUGAUAAUACGUUCCUGUACCUGUCCAAAGUCUGGAACCCUGUUAUUGGUGUAUAUGAAAAUAUGGAGAUGUGAUAUAAUUGUCAUUGAAUAUUGAUAUAAAAAACGAUGUUAUCUUUAAUUGCACAUUAUAUGGGUAAGAUUGAGAGAAUAACUUGAACUAAUGAGAUUAGGAGAAUACAAAAAGAGAAACAAUCGAAUAAAAUAAUACUCGCUGUUUUAUGUACAAUUUUGUCAAACGCAAUUUCAAAUAAUCUCAACGGUUACUUUAACUUCUACUCUAUAAUUAAUUUAAAUCGUAAUGACAAAUGAUAAAAACGCGAUUUUCAGCUGAUAAAUAUCAUUGAUUACUUUUAUGUUCUCUAAUGUUUUUUGUAUAUAUGUAUUGUAAAUGAAUUGUAUUGUUUCCUCAA